GCUUCGUGUUUUCCUUUUGUGUUGACGGACUAAGGGCUUAUUUUUCUGCUUUAACCUACUCGAGCUAAAAAACCGAACGCCGCGUUCCUCUCCCUUCUCAGCCGCCUCACCAUCUUCUUCCUCGACAAAAGGCGAAUAGCGAUAGCUCAGCUCAGAGAGGAUGUCAGGUAAUUACGGAUCUGAAGGAGGGGACUUCUCGGCCCCACGUGGUGGCGGCGGCGGUGGCGGCGGAUAUGGAGGCCCUCAGAAUCGAGGCGGUGGCGGAGAUCGCUGGAGCCGCGGGGGAAAUAGUGGUGGACAACGAGGUGGUGGUCGUGGUGGCGGCGGCGGGCGGGAAGGGGAUUGGAGAUGCCCUAACCCUAGUUGCGGAAAUCUGAACUUUGCAAGGCGAGUUGAGUGUAACAAAUGUGGCGCUCCUAGCCCUGGUGGCAGUAGCGGAAGUGGUGGUCAUAGCAGAGGUGGUGGUGGUGGUGGUGGAGGAGGAGGAGGAGGUUAUAACAGGGGUGGUAGUGAUGGAGGUUAUAAUCGUGGAGGUGGAGAUUACGGUGGUGGACGUGGUGGGUAUGGUGGAGGAAAUCGUGGCUACAAUGGAAAUCGUGGUGAUAGGGGUAGAGGUGAUUCUUUCAACAGCCAUGAUAGGGAGGAUGGUGGUCAUGGUAGAGUGGGUAGAGAAGAUGAUGGAGAUUAUGGUGGCAGAGUAGAUACUGGUUAUGCUGAGGUUCCUCCUCCAGCGGCUCCCUCUUAUGGCGGAGGUGGUGGAAGCUAUCCUCCUGCACCAAGCUCUUAUGGUGGGAGUGCUGCUUAUGGACAUGACUCUGCUCCGUCAGCUACUGCUUAUGGUGGGGUGAAUUCCUUGCCCCCAUCUUAUGGUGCCCCACCUCCGAAUCCUUACAGCGGUGAGCAUCCCUCUAGUCGGGGUGCUCCGAUUUAUGAUGGUGGGCGUGGUGCUCCUCAGGCUGGUCGUGAUAUGGGUGGUGUUGCUCCGGCACCUUUUGCAGGUGGUGCUUAUGGGGGUGCUCCUGUUGAACCUCCAUCAAGUAUUAAGCAAUGUGAUGACACAUGUGGAGAUACGUGUGACAAUUCUAGAAUUUACAUCUCAAAUUUGCCAACAGAUGUGACAACUGAUGAAUUAAGGGAUCUUUUUGGUGGCAUAGGACAGGUUGGAAGGAUCAAACAGAAACGUGGUUAUAAAGAUCAGUGGCCCUGGAAUAUAAAGAUAUAUACUGAUGACGCUGGAAAUAGUAAAGGGGAUGCUGUUCUUUCCUAUGAAGAUCCUGCAGCAGCACAUUCUGCUGGAAGCUUCUAUAACAAUCAUGUUUUGAGGGGCCACCCUAUCCAAGUUACUAUGGCUGAAAAGACUGCACCUAAACCUGCUCCUGCAUAUGGUCACGGCGGUGGAAGGGGUGGUUAUGGUGGUGGUGGAGACAGGCGUAGAGACAACUACAGGGACGGUGGUGGUUCUGGGCCUGAUAGGAACUAUCAUGGUGGCCAGCGUUCAAGGCCAUAUUGAAGAACCAGUGAUUAGAUGUACUGAGAAAAUUCUCUAGAAUAUUCAUUCUCAGAUGACCUCAGUAAUGUACCCUAACAGGAGCCUAAGAGACAAGUGGAUGUAAUCUCCAAAUUGCUGUUAAGUUUGAAAAAUUACAGAUGCAGGUAGGUGAAAGAAAAUGAGUAGUAGCAGAAACUGCAUUUGCUUGCCAUCCAGGUGGGGCAUUUUGACUGACAUUUUCUUUCAUGGCCAGCAUUCAAAGAGAGCCUGGUUUGUCUAGUGGGUGGGAGGUUCUAAUUUUGGAUUUAUUAUUCUGUGCGGAGUGCGGAUGGCGUUCCGAGACAAAUAAAAAUGCGCCACAUCACCCCAUUGCUGGGUGCCCAGCUCGGUACCCGCACUCGGUACCGUUGGGUACCCACCGGACGGCUCUCCCAUCCGGUGUCCGUACAGAAUAAAAUCUCCUAAUUUUGAAUACCCUGGCGCCUAACAGUACAAUUUUUUUUAACAGACCUUGCAACUGGAGCGCCCUAGUGCCGUUGUGGAGAUGUUACCGUUAUAAUAUUUGUAUUUGAAAUUGUAGUUGGAAUUGCUGUGGUGCUUUUAAUGAGCUUGUACUGAAUGGAAGUCCUGCGAAUUACCAAUAACAGAUCAACGGUAAGCAAUUCCUUUCCUCUUCUAUUGUCAA